rnacentral:rRNA from 1 species
CGUGCAGGCGGCCGAUUAAGUCCGGUGUGAAAGCCCGGGGCUCACCCCCGGAAGUGCGCUGGAAACUGAUCGGCUAGAGUGCGGGAGAGGGAAGCGGAAUUCCUGGUGUAGCGGUGAAAUGCGUAGAUAUCAGGAGGAACACCGGCGGCGAAGGCGGCUUCCUGGACCGACACUGACGCUGAGACGCGAAAGCGUGGGGAGCAAACA